rnacentral:rRNA from 1 species
AUAUUGGACAAUGGGCGAAAGCCUGAUCCAGCCAUGCCGCGUGUUUGAAGAAGGUCUUCGGAUAGUAAAGCACUUUAAGUUGGGAGGAAGGGCAGUAAGUUAAUACCUUGCGGUUAUGACGUUACCGACAGUAUAAGCACCGGCUAACUUCGUGCCAGCAGCCGCGGUAAUACGAAGGGUGCAAGCGUUAAUCGGAAUUACUGGGCGUAAAGCGCGCGUAGGUGGUUUGUUAAGUUGUAAGUGAAAUCCCCGGGCUUAACCUGGGAACUGCUUUCAUAACUGCUGAGCUAGAGUACGGUAGAGGGUAGUGGUAUUUCCUGUGUAGCGGUGAAAUGCGUAGAUAUAGGAAGGAACACCAGUGGCGAAGGCGACUACCUGGACUGAUACUGACACUGAGGUGCGAAAGCGUGGGGAGCAAAC